AUAUGUUCUUCUUUCGUUCCAUUUGACAUGUUAAUUUAUACAAUAUCAGUAGAUUCUCGAUUUUCGUGUUAAAUGUCAAUUCGGUUUCAUGUGCUCUUUGAAUUCCCCGAGGACCGGUCCCGUGUCAGCGGCCAUUGUAAUUAUGUUUCAGUUAAUUAUCAAGAUACAUAUGCAUCGAUGAGAAUUAUAACCAGCUCUUCUAUUCUCAAU
ensembl:ncRNA C36F7.24 ncRNA